rnacentral:rRNA from 1 species
GUGUCAGCAGCCGCGGUAAGACAGAGGGUGCGAACGUUGUUCGGAAUUACUGGGCGUAAAGCGUGUGUAGGCGGCAAGGCAAGUCGGAUGUGAAAUCCCGUGGCUCAACCAUGGACGUGCACUCGAAACUGCCUAGCUAGAGUCUCGGAGAGGAAGGUGGAAUGCUUGGUGUAGAGGUGAAAUUCGUAGAUAUCAAGCAGAACACCUGUGGCGAAGGCGGCCUUCUGGACGAUGACUGACGCUGAGACACGAAAGCGUGGGGAGCAAACAGGAUUAGAAACCCUGGUAGUCC